UACAGAGGCCCCGAGCGUUACCCGGAAUCACUGGGCGUAAAGGGUGUCUAGGCGGCCUUGUUAGUCGUUCGUGAAAUCUGCGGGCUCAACCUGCAGGCGUGCGAGCGAAACGGCAAGGCUCGAGAGCGCGAGAGGUGCACGGAACUCAUGGUGGAGGGGUGAAAUCCGUUGAUAUCAUGGGGAACACCAAAGGCGAAGGCAGUGCACUGGCGCGUUUCUGACGCUCAAACACGAAAGCUAGGGGAGCGAACGGG
rnacentral:rRNA from 1 species